rnacentral:rRNA from 1 species
UACGCUGUUAUCCCUAAAGUAACUUUUUCUUCUAAUCCUUAAAAAAGGAUCACUCCUCUAAAUAUGUUUAUUUAAAUUAUUAAACAGUUACUUAUUUUAUAUUCUUGUCGCCCCAACAUAAUAAAUAAAAACUAAUCCACUUUAACACUAAAAUUCAAAAAUUAAUUCUUUUAUAUAAAGUUUUAUAGGGUCUUAUCGUCCCUUUAAUAUAUUUGAGCCUUUUCACUCAAAAGUAAAAUUCUAUCUCUACAGGCCAAGACAGGCUAUUUUUUGUACGACCAUUCAUUCCAGCCUCCAAUUAAGAG